GACGAACGCUGGCGGCGUGCUUAACACAUGCCAGUCGAACGGAAAGGCCCCUUUGGGGGUACUCGAGUGGCGAACGGGUGAGUAACACGUGAGUAACCUGCCCUUGACUUCGGGAUAACUUCAGGAAACUGGGGCUAAUACCGGAUAGGAAUCCUUGCUGCAUGGUGGGGGUUGGAAAGCUUCGGCGGUUUUGGAUGGACUCGCGGCUUAUCAGCUUGUUGGUGGGGUAGUGGCUUACCAAGGCUUUGACGGGUAGCCGGCCUGAGAGGGCGACCGGCCACAUUGGGACUGAGAUACGGCCCAGACGCCGACGGGAGGCAGCAGGGGGGAAUAUUGCACAAUGGGCGGAAGCCUGAUGCAGCAACGCCGCGUGCGGGAUGACGGCCUUCGGGUUGUAAACCGCUUUCAGCAGGGGCGAAGCUUGUGGUGACGGUACCUGCAGAAGAAGCACCGGCUAACUACGUG
rnacentral:rRNA from 1 species